GGUGGAUGCCUUGGCGAUCACAGGCGAUGAAAGACGUGACAGCCUGCGAAAAGCUGCGGGGAGCUGGCAAAUGAGCAUUGAUCCGCAGAUCUCUGAAUGGGGAAACCCACCCGCGAGGGUAUCGGCUUCUGAAUCCAUAGGAAGUCGAAGCGAACCCGGGGAACUGAAACAUCUCAGUACCCGGAGGAACAGAAAUCAACCGAGAUUCCGUCAGUAGCGGCGAGCGAACGCGGAACAGCCACCAGCAUAUAGCCAUUGGGGUUAGGAGAACGGUUUGGAAAAGCCGGUCACAGAGGGUGAUAACCCCGUAUCCCAAAACCCGAUGGUGGAACUAAGGCUGGAACAAGUAAGGCGGGGCACGUGAAACCCUGUCCGAACAUGGGGGGACCAUCCUCCAAGGCUAAAUACUCGUGAUCGACCGAUAGUGAACCAGUACCGUGAGGGAAAGGCGAAAAAGAACCCCGGCGAGGGGAGUGAAAUAGAUCCUGAAACCGUGUGCGUACAAGCAGUCGGAGCCUCCUUUGUGGGGUGACGGCGUACC
rnacentral:rRNA from 1 species